GACGAACGCUGGCGGCGUGCUUAACACAUGCAAGUCGAACGGUGAACCUCUUCGGAGGGGAUCAGUGGCGAACGGGUGAGUAACACGUGGGCAACCUGCCCCCGGCUCUGGGAUAACUCCAAGAAAUUGGGGCUAAUACCGGAUGUUCACCGCUUCCCGCAUGGGUGGUGGUGCAAAGGGUUUCCGGCUGGGGAUGGGCCCGCGGCCUAUCAGCUUGUUGGUGGGGUAGUGGCCUACCAAGGCGACGACGGGUAGCCGGCCUGAGAGGGUGACCGGCCACACUGGGACGGAGACACGGCCCAGACUCCUACGGGAGGCAGCAGUGGGGAAUAUUGCGCAAUGGGCGGAAGCCUGACGCAGCGACGCCGCGUGGGGGAUGACGGCCUUCGGGUUGUAAACCUCUUUCAGCAGGGACGAAGCGCAAGUGACGGUACCUGCAGAAGAAGCACCGGCCAACUACGUG
rnacentral:rRNA from 1 species